UACGGAGGAUGCGAGCGUUAUCCGGAUUUAUUGGGUUUAAAGGGUGCGUAGGCGGACUGUCAAGUCAGCGGUAAAAUUGAGAGGCUCAACCUCUUCCCGCCGUUGAAACUGGUGGUAUUGAGUGGAUGAGAAGUACGCGGAAUGCGUGGUGUAGCGGUGAAAUGCAUAGAUAUCACGCAGAACUCCGAUUGCGAAGGCAGCGUACCGGCAUCCAACUGACGCUGAGGCACGAAAGCGUGGGGAUCAAACAGG
rnacentral:rRNA from 1 species